AGUGAACGCUGGCGGUAGGCCUAACACAUGCAAGUCGAACGGCAGCACAGUAAGAGCUUGCUCUUACGGGUGGCGAGUGGCGGACGGGAGAGGAAUAUAUCGGAAUCUACUUUUUCGUGGGGGUUAACGUAGGGAAACUUACGCUAAUACCGCAUACGACCUACGGGUGAAAGCAGGGGAUCUUCGGACCUUGCGGGGUUGAAUGCGCCGAUGUCGGAUUUGCUGGUUGGCGGGGUAAAGGCCCACCAAGUCGACGAUCCGUAGCCGGUGUGAGUGGAUGGUAGGCCGCACUGGAGCGUGACCAGGGACAAUGGUCCUGCGAGAGGCAGCAGUCGGGUAUAGUGGACAAUGGGCGCAAGCCUUGUACAGCCAGCCCGCGUGGGUGAAGAAGGCCUUCGGGUUGUAAAGCCGGUUUGUUGGGAAAGAAACGCAGCAGGUUAAGACGCCGCUGUUCUGACGGUACCCAGAGAAUAAGCACCGGCUAACUUCGUG
rnacentral:rRNA from 1 species